GAUGAACGCUGGCGGCGUGCCUAAUACAUGCAAGUCGAGCGACAAGACGAGGAGCUUGCUCCUCUGACGUUAGCGGCGGACGGGUGAGUAACACGUGGAUAACCUACCUAUAAGACUGGGAUAACUUCGGGAAACCGGAGCUAAUAACAGAUAAUAUAUUGAACCGCAUGGUUCAAUAGUGAAAGACGGUUUUGCUGUCACUUAUAGAUGGAUCCGCGCCGCAUUAGCUAGUUGGUAAGGUAACGGCGUACCAAGGCAACGAUGCGUAGCCGACCUGAGAGGGUGAUCGGCCACACUGGAACUGAGACACGGUCCAGACUCCUACGGGAGGCAGCAGUAGGGAAUCUUCCGCAAUGGGCGAAAGCUUGACGGAGCAACGCCGCGUGAGUGAUGAAGGUCUUCGGAUCGUAAAGCUCUGUUAUUAGGGAAGAACAACUGUGUAAGUAACUAUGCACGUCUUGACGGUACCUAAUCAGAAAGCCCCGGCUAACUACGUG
rnacentral:rRNA from 1 species